UGGGGAAUAUUGCACAAUGGGGAAACCCUGAUGCAGCGACGCCGCGUGAAGGAAGAAGUAUCUCGGUAUGUAAACUUCUAUCAGCAGGGAAGAUAAUGACGGUACCUGACUAAGAAGCCCCGGCUAACUACGUGCCAGCAGCCGCGGUAAUACGUAGGGGGCAAGCGUUAUCCGGAUUUACUGGGUGUAAAGGGAGCGUAGACGGAGAGGCAAGUCUGAUGUGAAAGGCGGGGCUCAACCCCGCGCUCGCAUUGGAAAACUGUAUUUCUUGAGUGCCGGAGGGGUAAGCGGAAUUCUUAGUGUAGCGGUGAAAUGCGUAGAUAUUAGGAGGAACACCAGUGGCGAAGGCGGCUUACUGGACGGCAACUGACGUUGAGGCUCGAAAGCGUGGGGAGCAAACAGGAUUAGAUACC
rnacentral:rRNA from 1 species